UUGUGAAUGACCCUUUAUCCCCUAAGGAAACGCUACUGCCCUCUAUACGUCAAUACCCUUUUAUGAAUAUCCAUCACGAAUGUCAAACAACAAUGAAAAAGAAACCGUAGUGUAGAGUUACGAGCGCAGCUGAUUGUUAUUUGUUUAUGUUUUACAAACAAAAAUCUAAUAAAAGAAUAUUUUUUAGUGUUUUAUCCUUCAAAUAAACAGACGUUACCGUCACAAAGCCUGCUUUUGUCUCGAUACCCGUGGAGUGAUCUAAAGCAGGGAACUAGACGAAGUUCGGGAACGUCUUAGUGUUCAAUUAUUAUACUUUGUAUACAAAAAUAAAUUAUGCUAAAGCUCGACCUGGAUCUUGAAAAGUUUUGUACUACUCAAUGUGUGUCCAUGAUCUUUCAAGGUUGUCAAUGAACAUAAACAAAAAUAAAUUGUUUCAAAGUUAAUUUUCGUUAAUUUGAUGAAUUAUGUGGAUUAUAUUAUUCAGUUGCAGUAUUAUUAAACCUAAUCAAGAAUAUCUUGGCUCCUAUUCUUGUUAUUAUAGAAUCGGGAGUAUGUUGAAGAACAGUUAUGAUGUUUGCGGUGACUUAGUAACAACUUGGUCAGUCCAUCUACCUAGCGUAUAGUGACAAGUUCCAAAUGGUAUUUACCAUCUCCAUACAGAGAGGUCUAUAACCGACUUGCCUUAUGGAAUCUACUGACAGUUGAAUGAAAGGAUUUUAGGUAUUGAUGAUUGGUUGAUGUGAAUCAAUGAUGUUGCUGGUAGUUUUUCUGUUUUGAUUGUUGACUCCUUGGAUCAGUUUAUGUACAUUUUUAAGUAAUAUGAAAUUAAUCAUAAGUCAAAUGUUCAAACUGUUCAACUUAAAAAAAAUAUAAAUUUUAUCGAGAUUUUCCUUUGGAAAAUUAAA